rnacentral:rRNA from 1 species
GGCGGACGGGUGAGUAACGCGUGGGAAUGUGCCCUUCUCUACGGAAUAGCCACUGGAAACGGUGAGUAAUACCGUAUACGCCCUCAGGGGGAAAGAUUUAUCGGAGAAGGAUCAGCCCGCGUUAGAUUAGGUAGUUGGUGGGGUAACGGCCUACCAAGCCUACGAUCUAUAGCUGGUUUUAGAGGAUGAUCAGCCACACUGGGACUGAGACACGGCCCAGACUCCUAAGAGAGGCAGCAGUAGGGAAUCUUGGACAAUGGGGGCAACCCUGAUCCAGCCAUGCCGCGUGAGUGAAGAAGGCCCUAGGGUCGUAAAGCUCUUUCGCCUGUGAUGAUAAUGACAGUAGCAGGUAAAGAAACCACGGCUAACUCCGUGCCAGCAGCCGCGGUAAUACGGAGGGGGUUAGCGUUGUUCGGAAUUACUGGGCGUAAAGCGCGCGUAGGCGGAUUGGAAAGUUGGGGGUGAAAUCCCGGGGCUCAACCCCGGAACUGCCUUCAAAACUCCCAGUCUAGAGUUCGAGAGAGGUGAGUGGAAUUCCGAGUGUAGAGGUGAAAUUCGUAGAUAUUCGGAAGAACACCAGUGGCGAAGGCGGCUCACUGGCUCGAUACUGACGCUGAGGUGCGAAAGAGUGGGGAGCAAACAGGAUUAGAUACCCUAGUAGUCCACACCGCAAACGAUGAAUGCCAGUCGUCGGAUAGUAUACUAUUCGGUGACACACCUAACGGAUUAAGCAUUC